rnacentral:tRNA from 1 species
GGCGGAUGUAGCCAAGGGAUCAAGGCGGG